GAACCGCGCGUCCUCAAUCCGCUACUCCGGCAAGCCCGCUCCCCGACUGUUCAACUACUCCGCCGUCACCUCGCGUCCGCCCUCGUCACAUUGGUUUUCGCCGAGGUGUCUGGACAAGUAGCAGCAUUUCAUGUGACGGUUGACAGGUGUGCCUUUUACUGCUGCAGAUUCCUCGGCUGGCAGCUCUUCUCCCGAGACCAUAUGAUUCGGAUCACAUUGCCGGUUUGCUGCACCACUUUGGACUGUGCCUCUACUCAUCAACCAAUCAUCCCAAGAUGGAUAAGCAGGCAGAAGAUGCAUCUCUUUGAAGAAGAGCGCACUAGUUUCUCUUGCUCGGAUGAAACGUCCAAAUAACUAAAUUGGCAUGUGUUUAGAUUAAAAAGUUAAUUAUAACAUUCUUUUAUUCGAGACAAAUUACAUGCUAGGAACCAAACAAUCACUAAUGCAAGUGGAUCUCCAGGGCCAUGUGGGGGAGUGCUAGACGAAUGGAAUUUGAUAGGGAUGCAAAGAUUCUUCGAAGGAACUUUGUAAUUGAUCUGUUAAGUUACGAGGACAAUUCAUGCCGCUAUGCUAUCCUUGCAAACAUACAAUAAAGACUUAUCAAUAUCGCUUAAAAGGAUUAGAUUAAUGUACGGUUGUCGACAUAUUUGCUUAUUAUUAAAAAUUGUAAGACAUCACAUUUUUUAAUUGAGGUUGCAUCAAUAAACAGGUUGAUGUAGACCAAUAUGGUUUGUGUGUGGUUUACAUGUUUUAAAUAUAAAUAUAUGUGGGCAGCUAGCACAUCUAAGGUGCCGUUUGGUUCAUGUAUUGGUAACGUAAUGGAUAACUGAUAACGUUAAAUCAUGUUUGUUUAA